GCUUUUCUCUCCUCUCUACGGCUUCUCCGCUUCUCUCUCCUCUCUACGGCUUCUCUCUCCUCUCCACCGCUUCUCUUUGCAAUAUCGCUGCGCGCACUUCUCUCCUCUAGAUCCAACUCUUGCUCAGAUUUUGUUGAGGUUCUUGGAAAAUCAAGAUGGACAUAGAUUGGAGUGACACGUCGUCUUCAUAUUCUAGUGAUUCAAAUGAAGAUUUUGAUGACCUUGUAGAUUGUAUGUAUUUGAAUUUGAUGCAGAAGUAUGAAGAUUCCUUUAAAUCCAAAGUACCAAAAAGAACUUCGGGGUUAACAGAUCAUGAGUAUGUUCAGGAAUUGUUGAAUGACCAUGCCGCUUGUUUGAUGGUGUAGCACAAAUGGGAGCCCUUAGAACUCAUCUGACAAAUCAAAUGUGGGCAUCAUUCAGAGGCAAUGCUAGAUGAAGUUAUUUUUAUAAUUCUCCAAUGUUUUGCUUUGAUUACCUAUUUGUGUAAUUCUCUAAUAUUUUGUUUCGGUUAUGUAUGACUAAAAUUAAUGUUUGUACAGCUAAAAGUGUAUAUGACAUUUGAAGUAAUUAAUGUAACUCUUUUAUUGUAUUUCAAUUUAGUCAAA